rnacentral:rRNA from 1 species
CAAUAGCGUAUAUUAAAGUUGUUGCAGUUAAAAAGCUCGUAGUUGGAUUUCUGGUUGAAGCGACCGGUCGGGCGUUGAUUCGUCUGCACUGGAGUCGGUUUUGACCAUCCUCUAGGAAAGUGCGUCUGGUAUUAAGUUAUCGGGCGUAUGAUCCUGGUCUUUUACUGUGAAAAAAUUAGAGUGUUUAAAGCAGGCCUUCGCCUUGAAUACAUUAGCAUGGAAUAAUAAGAUAGGACUUUGGUCUAUUUUGUUGGUUUGCAGACCGAAGUAAUGAUUAAUAGGGAUAGUUGGGGGUAUUUAUAUUCCGAUGUCAGAGGUGAAAUUCUUAGAUUUUCGGAAGAUAAACUUAUGCGAAAGCAUUUACCAAGGAUGUUUUCAUUAA